rnacentral:rRNA from 1 species
AGCAGCCGCGGUAAUUCCAGCUCCAAUAGCGUAUAUUAAAGUUGUUGCAGUUAAAAAGCUCGUAGUUGAAUUUCGGGAUCAAUUUAUUGGUCGUGCUAUUGUACGUACUGGUAUUAUUGAUUCCUACCUUCUGACGAAUCAUGAUGUCAUUAAUUUGGUGUCUUGGGGAAUCAGGACUGUUACUUUGAAAAAAUUAGAGUGUUUAAAGCAGGCUCACGCUUGAAUACAUUAGCAUGGAAUAACGAAAUAGGACGUUUGAUUCUAUUUUGUUGGUUUCUAGGAUCGACGUAAUGAUUAAUAGGGAUAGUUGGGGGCAUUAGUAUUCAAUUGUCAGAGGUGAAAUUCUUGGAUUUAUUGAAGACUAACUACUGCGAAAGCAUUUGCCAAGGAUGUUUUCAUUAAUCAAGAACGAAAGUUAGGGGAUCGAAGACGAUCAGAUACCGUCGUAGU